GAGAGGAGUGUAGAGAGAGAGAGAGAGAUAUGGAGAGAGGAGUGUAGAGAGAGAGAGAGAGAGAUAUGGAGAGAGGAGUGUAGAGAGAGAGAGAGAGAUAUGGAGAGAGGAGUGUAGAGAGAGAGAGAGAUAUGGAGAGAGGAGUGUAGAGAGAGAGAGAGAUAUGGAGAGAGGAGUGUAGAGAGAGAGAGAGAUAUGGAGAGAGGAGUGUAGAGAGAGAGAGAUAUGGAGAGAGGAGUGUAGAGAGAGAGAGAGAUAUGGAGAGAGGAGUGUAGAGAGAGAGAGAGAGAUAUGGAGAGAGAAGUGUAGAGAGAGAGAGAGAGAUGAGAGAGAGAGAGAGAGAGAGAGAGAGGAGUGUAGAGAGAGAGAGAGAGAGAGAUAUGGAGAGAGGAGUGUAGAGAGAGAGAGAGAGAGAGAUAUGGAGAGAGGAGUGUAGAGAGAGAGAGAGAUAUGGAGAGAGGAGUGUAGAGAGAGAGAGAGAGAGAGAUAUGGAGAGAGAGAGAGAGAUAUGGAGAGAGGAGUGUAGAGAGAGAGAGAUGUGGAGAGAGGAGUAGAGAGAGGGAGAUGUGGAGAGAGGAGUAGAGAGAGGAGAGAUGUGGAGAGAGGAGAGAUGUGGAGAGAGGAGAGAUGUGGAGAGAGGAGUAGAGAGAUAUGAGAGAGCGAGAGAUGUGGAGAGAGAUAUGAGAGAGCAAGAGAUGUGGAGAGAGAUAUGAGAGAGCGAGAGAUGUGGAGAGAGAUAUGAGAGAGCGAGAGAUGUGGAGAGAGAUAUGAGAGAGCGAGAGAUGUGGAGAGAGAGUAUGAGAGAGCGAGAGAUGUGGAGAGAGAUAUGAGAGAGCGAGAGAUGUGGAGAGAGAUAUGAGAGAGCGAGAGAUGUGGAGAGAGAUAUGAGAGAGCGAGAGAUGUGGAGAGAGAUAUGAGAGAGCGAGAGAUGUGGAGAGAGGAGUAGAGAGAGCGAGAGAUAUAUGGAGAGAGGAGUAGAGAGAGCGAGAGAUAUGGAGAGAGGAGUAGAGAGAGCGAGAGAUAUGGAGAGGAGUGUAGAGAGAGAGAGAUGUGGAGAGAGGAGUAGAGAGAGGGAGAUGGAGAGAGGAGUAGAGAGAGGAGAGAUGUGGAGAGAGGAGAGAUGUGGAGAGAGGAGUAGAGAGAGGAGAGAUGUGGAGAGAGGAGUAGAGAGAGGAGAGAUGUGGAGAGAGAUAUGAGAGAGCGAGAGAUGUGGAGAGAGAAGGAGUAGAGAGAGAGAUAUGGAGAGAGAAGUAGAGAGAGAGAUAUGGAGAGAGGAGUAGAGAGAGAGAGAUGGAGAGAGAAGUAGAGAGAGAGAGAUGUGGAGAGAGAAAUGGAGAGAGGAGUAGAGAGAGAUAAACCACGUUACCAUCCACAGAUUUAUGCAAGUAAAGUCAUUCUGUAUCAAAACAAUCACGACAGCUGUGAUGGAAACAGGACGUUUUGGUACAAUGGUAUAAAUGCCAACAAAUGGUGUGAUCUUUUUGUGUCCAUAAAAUUAAUUAUGUGAGAAAUGGCAGUUCAUGUACAAAUAUUAAAAAAUAAUAUCGAAGUAACCUUGGAGUCAUUAUGAUGCGUGUAUGCCUUAUGACUAACGAGACGUGGUGUGAUCGUAACAAUAUACAGGAACUCAAGUCCUUUUGUUCACCUUACUUAGAAUUCCUCACAAUCAAAUGCCGACAGCAUUAUCUACCAAGAGAAUUCUCUUCGAUCAUAAUCACAGUCGUGUAUAUCCCCCCACCAAGCAGACAC
rnacentral:lncRNA from 1 species